GCAGAUCCCUUGGAUGUAGAUCAAUCUCAGAUUCAGACUCCAACUUCACAGCAGGACACCUCUCCACAAAAAGACACGUUCCAUGACAGCUGCCAUCGCCAGUCAAAAAGAGCAUUAACCUUCAAUGAUGCUGAGCCACACGACAGGUUUGUUUUGCCUCCCCACACAUAACAAAUAAUUCCAGUGCAAACAUGACACACCAACGGAGGCCACUAUCUCAUUUCUUUGAUAUGCAUUCCUUUAAUAAUUAUUCCUUGCCUGAUCAACAACUUUAUAAAUACUCUUCCCUUUCAUUCUUAAUAUCUUAUUUGGCAUGCAAAUAUCAUCCCAUGGAAUCUUUUUUCAACUAUAUCAUUAUUUUUAUUUUUAUUUUUUUAUUUCAAGAUAUUAACUUCCAAUACACCACUAUCUCAUAUUUGCUCUACAUUCAUCCUAUGAAAGUUAUUACUUAAUUGUUCUACUAAUAAAUAAAUUGUUUUGUCUUUCAUUCACAUUGUUUACAUUUCUCAUUCCUUGAGUACUUCCUUUCAACAUAUGAUUCAGCACCCAGCUUCCCCACCCAAAACCCUUCAACGAAGACUCAUCAAAGGAGCUUCUCUACAAAGAUGAUGACAAUCCUGCACCUCAACUUUCAAAGAAGCAGCGCCUCUCCGUUUCAUCACCUGAAAAAG
rnacentral:lncRNA from 1 species